GGGAGGGACCCCAGAGGGGGCUCUGAAUCCCUGCCCCGCCCCUGCGUGCCUCAGUUUCCCCGCCUGGACAGUGGGUGCGAGGACCGCACCUGUCGCCGAGGUGCUCCGCGGGGCUCCAUCCGCCGGAUCUGCUCCGUUCUCGCUACUGUUUAGUUCCAUCAGCCCCCAGACCCCACCACCCAUGCCCUGGUCACUGUGGGCAGUGGAGGGAUGGCUGCCCAGCUGCCGGCUGACAAGGCCCUGGCGUUGCUGACAUUCAAAGAUGUGGCCGUGAACUUCACGCAGGAGUGGCAGCAGCUGGAGCCGGCUCAGAGGGACCCGUACAAGGAUGUGAUGCUUGAGAACCUCUGGAACUUGAGCUCCCUGGGUAAAACGGGGGGUUCUGGGGAGGGCCCUAUUCCUCGUUCACAGGUGGCCCCUUCUCGCUGUGUCCUCACAAGGAGGAAGGAGUGAGAGAGACCUCACU
rnacentral:lncRNA from 1 species